rnacentral:rRNA from 1 species
UUGGGAAUCUUGCACAAUGGGCGAAAGCCUGAUGCAGCGACGCCGCGUGGGGGAUGAAGCUUUUCGGAGUGUAAACCCCUUUCGACCCGGACGAAUACCUCGCAAGAGGGGUGACGGUACGGGUAUAAGAAGCCCCGGCUAACUACGUGCCAGCAGCCGCGGUAAGACGUGGGGGGCCAGCGUUGUUCGGAAUUACUGGGUGUAAAGGGUCAGUAGGCGGUGUGGCAAGUCGGGAGUGAAAUCUCUGGGCUCAACCCAGAGACUGCUUCCGAAACUGCCGUGCUAGAGUGUGGGAGAGGCGCGUGGAAUUGCAGGUGUAGCGGUGAAAUGCGUAGAUAUCUGCAGGAACACCCGUGGCGAAAGCGGCGCGCUGGACCACAACUGACGCUGAAUGACGAAAGCUAGGGGAGCAAACAGGAUUAGAUACCCUGGUAGUCCUAGCCCUAAACGAUCAGGACUUGGGGUGCCGCACGUUCGUGCGUCGUCCCGGAGCUAACGCGUUAAGUCCUGCACCUGGGGAGUACGGUCGCAAGACUG